rnacentral:rRNA from 1 species
UACGUAGGGUGCGAGCGUUAAUCGGAAUUACUGGGCGUAAAGCGUGCGCAGGCGGUUCGUUAAGUCAGAUGUGAAAGCCCCGGGCUCAACCUGGGAACUGCAUUUGAAACUGGCGGCUUGAGUGUGGCAGAGGGGGUGGAAUUCCGCGUGUAGCAGUGAAAUGCGUAGAGAUGCGGAGGAACACCGAUGGCGAAGGCAGCCCCCCUGGGCCAACACUGACGCUCAGGCACGAAAGCGUGGGGAGCAAACAGG